ACGACCUUACUUGAACAGAAUCUGUUCUAUAGGUAGGCUUGUACAUCUGUAUUCUUGAUUUCUAAGGAGACAGGAAUCUGUGUCUGGUUGAUGAGACAUGCCCUCUAGACCAGAGCGUGAUUAACAGCGCCACGCUUUGGCUUGUGGGUCACAUUGUUGAAGAGGGUUGGUCUUGCAGUUGAGCUUACUUGAAUCUUUUUGACACUAUGAGGCAUAUGUUUUGGCUCAAUUUCAGACU